rnacentral:lncRNA from 1 species
UGAACCAUUGAUUCACACAAGAGCAUCAUCGGAUCAUUAUACAGGCUCUGAUACCAUGAAAAUAUGCUCAAUAUCGAAGAAAUUUAGAGAGAGAAAGUAGAGAGAAGGGAGAGCAUAGGAAGAGUCUCGAAGAGACUCAGAUAUUUUUAUCAGAGAAAUGACCCCUCAGGUCUGUCCAAAUGACCCCUAAGACUAUAUAUCAAAUAUAGCCUUUGCAAAUGUAGCCUAAUCAAUUACAGAAAUAGCCUA